rnacentral:lncRNA from 1 species
CUGUACAGGUGCAGAAGAAGCUUUUUGCACAUUGUCUUAAGCUUGGGAAACUUAUUUACAAAGCCUCAUUCUACUGAAAAUGGGCACUUGUUCAUGGUGUCCAUAAAACUGUUAAUGUGGCUACAUUGAGAACACAGGUUUUGCUUCCAUCACUGUAAUUUUAUUGCAGUGGUGACAAUGAGACCUGUAACAUUUUUUUUUUUUUUUGACUAGGCUCAUGAGUAAAAAUUGGAUAUAAUAUGGCUUUUCAAUAUUAGGAAAGAUGAAGGAAUAAACACAAUUGUACUUGCUAUAUUUAACUUCUAGGAUCCUACAGUAAACUGCUUGAGGAAAUUGGGUCUUUGAAGAUUACAGGUAAGAUUUUCGUUUUUUCCCCCUUGUAUUUAAUGCAAAAAACUAGACGUUAAACAGCCCAUUACGUGUUCUACUGUUUUUUCAGGGAUGUUAUGAUGAUGGGCAAAAUUGUUCAACUGCUCUGAAUGGGCUGAGUGAAAAUAGCCUUUCUGAACAUCCACAUUAAACUAUAUUUUAAAACAUGACAGCUCUAAGAUUAAAGUUGCCUGAGGACAUUUAUAUUUUGCAACAAAGUUUAGGUAUGAAUGAAAAUGGAACCGAAUCAGUCCCAGUUAUUGUUCAAAUCCUUUUCUGUAGGUGGCAAACUUUGAAGUGAACUCCACUGAAGAUCUAAGAGGCCCAACUAAAACAACGUGGCAGGUAAUUAUUAUCUGUCAGAUUUUGAUGGUCAUUACCAAGGCUUUUAGAACGCAGUUUCUAAUUUGCUGUGGACAUGACCGUAAAACAAAAUCCCAACUAGGUUUUUCUUCCUGCUACUUUGUUAGCAUACAGCCUGUUGGGAACAUUUUAUUAGCCUUAAUUAACUACUUGUGAAAGUCAGCACUGUUCUAGUAUAAAUAGAACACAGCCAUUUUUCUAAUUAGCUUUUAUAAUACCCAGACAUUGCUAGUCUAUGCCUAGCAUUGAAGAGUCUAUGCCUAGAUUGCUGGACUUGUUUUCUAGUUUAUUACUGGGGUAGUUGGCUUCAGAACUUUAUAGGACCAUCUCUGAAAAUGAAACCUUUAAUAUUUCUGUUAUACAGGCAUCACAGCUGUGGAUUGAGCAGAACUUUUUGAAAGGUAUGUACACAUUAGAGAAAUAGUUUUUGUAGGUCAUUUCAAAGAGGGCUGAUGGGACCAAAUCCUGGAGCCCUUAACGCUGUGACCAAAGACUGAAU